UUCACGCAACAUCGAUUUUCCCUAUUUCUUUACGCAAUAUCCAUUUAUCUUUCUUCUCUCUUACAAUUUUCACCCUAUUUCUUUUUUUUUUUUCUCAAACUCCUCUCUCUCACCCAAAUUGUAAAAUUUUUUGCUCAAUUCAGAUUGGAUGAUAUUCGGGUGUAUGAAGCCCCUGCGCUAAAUGUCACUGCUCUGAGGUUCACGGAGACAGCAAAGGCUAGGAUUGAGAAGGCGGGAGGAUAAUGCUUGACUUUUGACCAGCUUGCUCUUAAAGCUCCUCUUGGCCAGUACACAGAUAUUUGACGAUCAUUGUAUUCCAUCAGUAUUUUGCUUUCUCUGGUAUAAUUCAGAAUAAUUUUGUGAUAUGAUCCCACAAAUGGAGCCCUCGUUAAUUGAACUGGCUAGACAAUGAAUGGACGAAUUUACUGAACCAGCUGGUGUGCUGCUGGUACUCCUUAGAGGUCCAACAAAAUCUCAUGAAGCUGUGAAGCACGUUGGUCCGGCUCCUGGUGUACCACACAGUCACACAAAGCCUUGUGUCCGUGCCAAGGGAAGAAAAUUUGAGCGGGCUAGAGGAAGGAGAAACAGUCGAGGCUUCAAAGUUUCAAUUAUUACAGAAUUGAUGACAAAUUUUAUCUUUUCCAGAUUCCAAGCGAAAUGCUUUGGCAGUUUAGUUACUAUCGAUCCUUUUUGACAAUUUCUUUUCUUCAUCUUGGAAGCCAUUGUCUAUCUUUUGCACCCUCAUUAAGUGUACCUUUUAUAUUUGUACGAUAUGAAGUUUUGACCUUAGAAAAAUUUGGAAAUUAUUGCUGCGAAUCUCUAUA